UUUUAUUGAACGAACAAAACACAAUAUAUUAGGAUAUUAUUCCUCCAGGUUAUAAAUGCUACAUUGUGGUUAAUGGAUCAGUAAUAUAAUAUAAGAACAUUUAUGGGGAGAACUUUGAAUUAUAGCAAAUGGCGCCUAAAAUGUUUGAACGGUCAACCUAACUGUACUUCUUCCUCGAGCGCCUAACCUGCUGUUAAAAUCCUGCGGUGCCAUUGGCUGGCCAUAGUGUUGACGUUUACCAUUCCGCCGCCUGCCAUUGGGGAUCAAGCCCGUCAAUGGGACGCAAGGGGGCGGGACCAGCGCCCAAGAGGAAGGGAGAGGCCGUUCGAAUUCCCUCCUUCGCCACAUUCCAGUUUCUCCCCUCCCCCACACUCCACCUCCGUGGCGAGGGCGGGACCACUCGAACGCUCAUUGGUCCGCACGGCCUGUCCGUCAACGGCCUAGGCCCGCCCGCCGCGCC